UCGUGCUAGACGGGGAGCUAGCGGUGCCCUGUACCCGCAAUCCGCUAUAGCGGGGUUGAACUCCCUCCCGAGGCUCGCCUGGCUUGACACCGCCUCGGAGGAGCGGCGAUGAAGGCUGGGUCCUGCGCGGCAGAGAUCCACGAACCCCGUCAGGUCCGGAAGGAAGCAGCGGUAAGUGGCCUACUCUGGGUGCCGCAGGGGUUCCUGGCUGGAGCAGGCUGCCCGACUCAAGCCGGGUCAGACGUGUCGACGGAGGGUGCACGA
rnacentral:SRP_RNA from 1 species